AAUGGAUUAAAUGAAUGGAUGAGGUGAAUGGAUUAAAUGAAUGGAUGAGGUGAAUGGAUUAAAUGAAUGGAUGAGGUGAAUGGAUUAAAUGAAUGGAUGAGGUGAAUGGAUUAAAUGAAUGGAUGAGGUGAAUGGAUUAAAUGAAUGGAUGAGGUGAAUGGAUUAAAUGAAUGGAUGAGGUGAAUGGAUUAAAUGAAUGGAUGAGGUGAAUGGAUUAAAUGAAUGGAUGAGGUGAAUGGAUUAAAUGAAUGGAUGAGGUGAAUGGAUUAAAUGAAUGGAUGAGGUGAAUGGAUUAAAUGAAUGGAUGAGGUGAAUGGAUUAAAUGAAUGGAUGAGGUGAAUGGAUUAAAUGAAUGGAUGAGGUGAAUGGAUUAAAUGAAUGGAUGAGGUGAAUGGAUUAAAUGAAUGGAUGAGGUGAAUGGAUUAAAUGAAUGGAUGAGGUGAAUGGAUUAAAUGAAUGGAUGAGGUGAAUGGAUUAAAUGAAUGGAUGAGGUGAAUGGAUUAAAUGAAUGGUUGAGGUGAAUGGAUUAAAUGAAUGGAUGAGGUGAAUGGAUUAAAUGAAUGGAUGAGGUGAAUGAACGAGGUGAAUGGAUUAAAUGAAUGGUUGAGGUGAAUGGUUGAGGUGAAUGGAUUAAAUGAA